GAUGAACGCUGGCGGCGUGCCUAAUACAUGCAAGUCGAACGGAGUGCAGUAAUGUGCUCAGUGGCGAACGGGUGAGAAACGCGUUGGUGACCUGCCCCGGAGAGAGGGAUAACAGGCCGAAAGGCCUGCUAAUACCGCAUGGUCAACUGGGAGAUUAGAAACCUGGUUGUAAAUGGAGAAAUUCGCUCUGGGAGGGGCCUGCGUCCCAUCAGCUAGUUGGUAAGGUAACGGCUUACCAAGGCGAUGACGGGUAGGGGACCUGAGAGGGUGACCCCCCACAAUGGAACUGAAACACGGUCCAUACACCUACGGGUGGCUG
rnacentral:rRNA from 1 species